AGUGAACGCUGGCGGUAGGCCUAACACAUGCAAGUCGAACGGCAGCACAGUAAGAGCUUGCUCUUACGGGUGGCGAGUGGCGGACGGGUGAGGAAUACAUCGGCAUCUACUUUUUCGGGGGGGAUUACGUAGGGACACUUACGCUAAUACCGCAUACGACCUACGGGUGAAAGCAGGGGAUCUUCGGACCUUGCGCGUUUGAAUGAGCCGAUGUCGGAUUAGCUAGUUGGCUGGGUAAAGGCCUACCAAGGCAACGAUCCGUAGCUGGUCUGAGAGGAUGAUCGGCCACACUGGAACUGAGACACGGUCCAGACUCCUACGGGAGGCAGCAGUGGGGAAUCUUGCACAAUGGGCGCAAGCCUGAUCCAGCAAUACCGCGUGGGUGAAGAAGGCCUUCGGAUCGUAAAGCCCUUUUGUUGGGAAAGAAAAGAUGCAGGUGAAUACCCCGCUAUUCUGACGGUACCCAAAGAAAAAGCACCGGCUAACUUCGUG
rnacentral:rRNA from 1 species